GAACAUUUAUUCAUACUUCUUGACAUAUCUCCCAAAUGCACACAUGCACAAUACCACAGGUACCCAGGCAAGUAUAUUCUGUUCAUCAAAUGGUCACUGAAUGUCUACUUUGAGCAAGGCCCUAAAUGAGACAGAUAAUUGUCUGCUCUUAGAAAAACAUCUCACAGGAAGGCCUGGCAGAUCCAGGCCCACAUGCACAAUUAUAUAACAAGAGAAGCCUACGUGCUAUCAAUGCCAUACACCACUCAGGUUAGAGAUGAAUGCUCUCCUGUUCCUGUCCCUACAUAGCCUUUUACUGGAAAUCUUCAUAUCUGGACAUUCCAGCCAUCUGGUAUCCCCCCAAUUCCUAUAUAUUGAUAAAGACACACCAAGUUCUUGUGCUUCUGGCCUUUCACCUGGGAGAAAAAGUUGAAAAAUCAAAAGCUAUAAUCUUACAACUCAUCACCACUGAUGGGUGUUUAAUGGUAUCCAAGACUUCUCUUUGAGAUGCUACCCCCAGCAAGCCUCCCUCCUCCAAGCAAGAACAAAUGGCUUCUGGCCAUCUUCAUGGCCAGUUUUACGCCGUCCACUUCAGUGCACUGCCAUUGUGUACCUGUGCAAUGUAUGUUUCACAGAUGGAAACAGGAUGCUACCCCUGGGCAAGGAAUCUCCUAUGAACCCAAAGGUUUUCAGUGGGGGAAGGAAUUAAGACAAUCACUGGUACAGUCUCACAGAAGGCACACUGGAAACAAUUACAUAAAGUUAUCAUGGAGGUGUGAACACCCAGAAACACGCUUCUCAGUUGCUUCCAUAACCCACGUUUGGAGAGCCAAAUGCUUGAAAGAGGUUUCUCUCUUAUCCCAUCCAGCCUCCUCAACAACCUUCACUGGAGCACCCAGAACAGUGUCCAGUGAGUGA
rnacentral:lncRNA from 1 species